AGGUGUUUCGGCCAUGUUAUUUACAACUCCCCUAUCCUCCCGGUUAUUAUAGAUCCUCCCCUAUUUACGGAUCUGCCAGUGACCGUGUCAAAGUAGGCCGGAGGAGUCAGGUUACAUGUCUGUCUGACGGGAGGGGCGAUCCACUGACGAGGUAAGCUGACCGGUUGCAGCGCCGCCUAUGAGUGUCCUCCCGUCCCGAAAGACUGUGUGGAGACACGGGACAUCCCGGACUACUGCACCGUCUGCACCAAAAGGGGCUGCAAAUCUCCCACCAAGGGCAAAUAUCUCAGUAUAGGCGAGACGCACAUCCAGGAAAAGGCUUGUCUGAGAUGUGAGUGUGUGGAAGGCGGCACGCUGCAGUGCAGCGACAUGCCGGGGUGUUCCUGAGAUCGACACACAACUGGGAAAGACUGACACCUGGCGAAAGUUUUCAAAACUGCUGUAGUUUCGUCGAUAUAGGCGGAACCCUCGACAUACUUAUUCUUUACUGUCUGGUUAAUCCCUUUCACAUUAAACCUCAAGUUGACACUGUGAACAAACUGUCUACUAGUACUAGUAUUCUAUCCAUACGCAUAUCUGUAACAAAUAACAAAAAUUAAUGAACUUUCAAAAACGGUCUUUUCUCUCUUUUGUUCAAUCAAUGGCAACUGAUGGCAUCACUCGCGUUUUUAAGUUUUUGUGUCCUUCCUACCAUGCACUUGCAGUGGCACUUGAGUCCUAUCCUUACAGAAUUCCCAAUUGUAUUUAUAGUAAAAUGACCAAGUACAAGGACUAGCCUGUCUCAUUCAUGACGUCGUCAAAUGGGACAUAUAAUUCUGGGGGACUCUGGGGGCUGUAGUAAUAAUGAUAACUAGAGUUCCCCGCUCUCAUACCUUCGCCAAAUGAUGUUAAUCUUUAUGAGUGACAAAUUAUAGAUUAUUUCCCCUGAUUUAACAAAUAGGAUCCUCAUUUUCAUGAAUUAUAUCAGUUUAUCAUAUUCUCAACCAAAAGACAGCCUUAUCUUAACAAACACUGCCAUCCUAGCAUUUCCUCAUUUAUUAUGCAAAUGAGGCCCUGAUUUGAAUACAUGUUUAAUGAUGUUCAUCUUCACUGAACUUUCAAAUACCCCAAGUAUGUAAUUCCAGGCACUUAUCAUUACAUAAUUAUAAUUUUUUAUUAAUUAUGCAAAUUAUGUCUUCAUUUACUGCUUGUAUACGCUAGUCAAGAACAUGUGGAAAUACAUGUAUACGGUGAAGUCUA